UACGUAGGGUGCGAGCGUUUAAUCGGAAUUACUGGGCGUAAAGCGUGCGCAGGCGGUUUGUUAAGACAGAUGUGAAAUCCCCGGGCUUAACCUGGGAACUGCGUUUGUUACUGGCAAGCUAGAGUGUGUCAGAGGGAGGUAGAAUUCCACGUGUAGCAGUGAAAUGCGUAGAUAUGUGGAGGAAUACCGAUGGCGAAGGCAGCCUCCUGGGCCAGCACUGACGCUCAUGCACGAAAGCGUGGGGAGCAAACAGG
rnacentral:rRNA from 1 species